GUGCUCACUUCAGCAGCACAUAUCCUAAAAUUGGAAUGAUACAGAGAAGAUUAGCAUGGCCACUGUGCAGGGAUGACACACAAAUUCAUGGAACGUUCCACAUUUUU
ensembl:snRNA U6 U6 spliceosomal RNA